rnacentral:misc_RNA from 1 species
UUUCCGUAGGUGAACCUGCGGAAGGAUCAUUAAUGAAAUGUAAGGACGCUCUUUUUAGAGGUCCGACCAACUCAUUUACCUUUCUACACUGUGCACACACUACACUUUUUACACCUUUUUUAACACUUCAGUUUAAGAAUGUAUAUCAGUCUCUUUAUUGAGCAUAAAUUAAAUAAAACUUUCAGCAACGGAUCUCUUGGCUCUCGCAUCGAUGAAGAACGCAGC